CUAGUAAGGCAAGGCAAAUUUAUUUGUAUAGCAUAUCUAUUUGUUUGGCACAUUUCCUACACAGACACUUAAAAGACUGAAAGUCAACUGUAAAAUAGGUCUGCAGUAAGUUGUUAACAAACUAUAAUAGAUAAACUGAUCAGAUUUUUUUCUAUAUCUUUACUGAAGUCAUCAUCAUCAUCUUUAGCAUGAGAUGUCAGCAAUAAGGCCACAGAGAGUGAAGAUUAAACCUAAAGAAGAGGCAGCAUAUUUUUCAUCCUUGGGCAAGGACAAGGAUGGAUUCAAUAUAAAAUAUAUUAAUUCAUUUAAAGUCGAGGAGUGUUCAGUUGCCGCCACUUUCAGAAGGGAGACUUUCUUAUUGAAUAUCGAUUGGAAAUCAAACAGGAACAUGAAAACAGGCUAAGACUGUACCACGACGCCCUGAAGGUUUUCAUGUUUGAAUUUGUCUACAAUGGGGAAAAAACUAUGUAUUGAUGCAGCCAGAGAGGAUGACUCUCUAGGGAGACUCGUCAACGAUGAUCAUGUAAGCCCAAACAGCAGAAUGAGGAUCAUCACUGUGGAUAGAAAGCCUCAUCUCUGUUUAUUUCCAAUCAAGGACAUCAAGCCAGGGGAAGAGAUAACCUACAACUAUGGAGAUUCAGACUGGCCAUGGAGAUUAAAGGUUUCAACUGAAGCACAUCCUCACCAUGCAGCCUGGGCAUCUGACUGCACCAAAGAUGUUAAACAGGUGACUUCAUUUCCAUUGAAUGUUGAUAAUGACAUCAGAUUUUUUUUCAGUAGCAAAACAGUUUUGA